rnacentral:rRNA from 1 species
GAAACACUGACCAAGGAGUUCAAAUGGCACGCGAGUCAUUGGGUCUNAACACCCGAAGGCGAAGUGAAAUGCAAAGGUAUUGUUAUUUGUGGUUGUACCAUGAUUAAGCGAUNAGCUACUUAUGCUUUCUGGCAUUUGUAGACUACAAGCGUGAUGUUUGAGACCCGAAAGAUGGUGACCUAUGCCUAGUCAAGAUGAAGCCAGAGGAAACUCUGGUGGAUGUCUGAAGUUAUUCUGACGUGCAAAUCGAUAAUCUGAUCUGGGUAUAGGGGCGAAAGACUAAUCGAACCAUCUAGUAGCUGGUUCCUUCCGAAGUUUCCCUCAGGAUAGCUAGCGUACACGUUUAGUUUCAUCCCGUAAAGCGAAUGAUUAGAGGUAUUGGGGCGUAUAUAGCCUCAACCUAUUCUCAAACUUUUAAUGGGUGUGAGUGUUCUUUCUCGAUUGAAGAACACUGCUAAAUAAGUAUGCUUAGUGGGCCAUUUUUGGUAAGCAGAACUGGCGCUGUGGGUUGAACCAAUUGUUGGGUUAAAGUGCCUAAAGCUGGAAUGCGCAUGAGAUCUAUAAAGGGUGUUAGUUGCUGAAGACAGCAGGACGGUGGCCAUGGAAGUCGA